GAUUAUGGCUCAGGAUGAACGCUAGCUACAGGCUUAACACAUGCAAGUCGAGGGGCAGCAUGGUCUUAGCUUGCUAAGUUUGAUGGCGACCGGCGCACGGGUGAGUAACACGUAUCCAACCUGCCGAUGACUCGGGGAUAGCCUUUCGAAAGAAAGAUUAAUACCCGAUGGCAUAAUUCUUCCGCAUGGUAGAACUAUUAAAGAAUUUCGGUCAUCGAUGGGGAUGCGUUCCAUUAGGUUG
rnacentral:rRNA from 1 species